rnacentral:sRNA from 1 species
UCCCAGCCCUGAUAGAAGCGGUAUCCUUUUUCUGGCUUCUUUAGACAGAAAAAGAUACAAGCGAAUAGCAGGAAACAGC